GGAGCGGAAGUGAAUCAGUGUCAGUGGUUUUAAUGCAUGUAAACAAACAAGUGUGUCGUUGGAGACGGGAUGCGUUUUUAGUUUUAUAUAUUUUAAAUCACGUCUGUGAUCUUCUUUCAAUGGUCUCGAGCAGCAGAUAAACAUGGCAUCUAACGGAUGAUCAGCUUCCCAACUGAAGGGGAUAAGGUUGUUUGGAGCAGCACACUCAUCCAGCAGAAGCAUGUGGAUAGAAAUUGACAGUAAUGAUGCUCAUCUGCUGAUGGACCGGUCAGACUUUUCACUGGGCGUUUUUCACACAUGUGAGAAAGGGGCGUGUUUGGUGCAUCAACACUCAUCCAGCAGAAGCAUGUGGACAAGAGCAGAACUACUGCUAGACAUGAUUUGGUUGCUCAGUGGGGACGCCCUGAUCCCCCACACCUUCUCACUCACUGUUCAACUGUUAUGUUCCCUGUAUUUAUACUAAAAACUGCUAAAGUUACUAGUCUAACAGGGUCUUGAACCCUUUGGACCACAACACAACCUUGUCUUCAAUACCCAGCGGAGCCAACAUGGCCAACACGAGACCCAAUCUGAAGUGUAUUUAAGUACACUGGCGCUAAUUACAAUUCAUAAAGUGCAGUCUUUAAGCAUAAUCAAGCUUUCAAUGUUUCUGAUGCUU
ensembl:processed_transcript